GGAAAGGUAGUGUGUGGUUAUAGGGGGGAAAGGUAGUGUGUGGUUAUAGGGGGGAAGGUAGUGUGUGGUUAUAGGGGGGAAAGGUAGUGUGUGGUUAUAGGGGGAAAGGUAGUGUGUGGUUAUAGGGGGGAAAGGUAGUGUGUGGUUAUAGGGGGAAAGGUAGUGUGUGGUUAGAGGGGGAAAGGUAGUGUGUGGUUGUAGGGGGAAAGGUAGUGUGUGGUUGUAGGUGGAAAGGUAGUGUGUGGUUAUAGGGGGGAAAGGUAGUGUGUGGUUAUAGGGGGGGAAAGGUAGUGUGUGUUAUGGGGGGGAAAGGUAGUGUGUAGUUAUGGGGGGAAAGGUAGUGUGUGGUUAUAGGGGGGAAAGGUAGUGUGUGGUUGUAGGUGGAAAGGUAGUGUGUGGUUAUAGGGGAAAAUGAACCAUUUUGGACACAUGCUAAGUAAAAUUGCCCCGUCUAGCAGCAACCAACUUCACAAUGUUGCUAAAUUGUAUGUAGAUUGUGGUGUGGUGAAUUGAAAUAUCAGACAAGCACUGUUACUUCAUGCUGUACUGAACCAGUCUGAUGAAACCCAUGUACAUUUUACAUUUACAUUUACUUCAUUUAGCAGACGCUCUUAUCCAGAGCGACUUACAAUGUCACUGAAUUGUUCUUUACAUGUAUUGAAAGCAGCAACUCCUUUCAAUGUACCCUGAACUUCGCAUGACGGUAGGCAUGACGAUAGGACCAAGAGAAUGUAUUCAAAAUAGAUUCAGAAGUUUUGUAAGAUUAUUAAUGGUAAAAAUCGGGUCAUUUUGGAGAUAUGCAUUUCAUCCGACAGCGACAAUAUGUUGAACAUCCAAUCCUCCUAACAACCAGUCCUUUAACUGUGAUUGACAACGAUGGAGUUAUCUGUUGGGUCUCUCCUUCCCACUGGGCACACAACAGAAUUUCAUUGUGGAAAUGUGGGUAAUAUUUGGUUGUGACCUUGAUCAGUGAGAUGUAUUCACUCACUCAAAAAGACAGCCAGAAGUUUUUGUUGAAUUCCCAAUGUGUUAUCCCCAUGCUUUCAGACAUCUAAAAGCACAACUCAUUUCCAAUUGAAAAACAAUGUUGUCACACCCUGAUCUGUUUCACCUGCCUUUGUGAUUGUCUCCACCCCCCUCAGGUGUCGCCCAUCUUCCCCAUUAUCCCCAGUGUAUUUAUACCUGUGUUCUUUGUUUGUCUGUUGCCAGUUCGUUUUGUUUCGUCAAACCUACCAGUGGUUUUCCCUCUGGUCUUGUCGCUUGAUUGUUCCUGUUUUUUCCUGUUUUUGACCUUUUCUGCCCGCCUGCCGUUCUGUACCUUUGCCCCGCUUCUCUGGAUUAUCGACCCCUGCCUGCGUUGACCUGUUGUUUGCCUGCCCCUCUUGCUGUAAUAAACAUUGUUACUUCGACACAGUCUACAUUUAGGUCUUACCUGAAACGUGAUAAAUGUCAGAUUUUUGGUUUUGUUGUCAUGUAAAUGUUUUAUCAUUGUGCUUUCAACCAUCUAAAAGCACAAUAAAGUUCAAAUGGAAAUACAAUGUCAGAUAUUUUGUAGUUAAACAACAGAUCAAUGUGUUAUCCCUGUGCUUCAUCUAAUAGCAGAACCAAAUAACCUGGAUUGUAGUUGAGAAUGUGUACUUUAAAGUACAUGGUGCAAAGUGAUCAACGCUGUUCAAUAUUCUACACAGAUUAUUACAGCAAUUGUGAAGAUCUCCACCGACCUGCGACCUUUGCACGCUAUCUUGAAACAUGCGCGCUUUCUAUGAUUACAUAAGAAGACAUUUAUAGUUACAGUUCGGUUUUACAAAAGUGACACGGAAUUGUGUUUGGUUGUCAACGUAACCAAGUAUCAACGUUUAAAGAAGACGUAUAUUUUGUGCCACUGACUUUAAUUCCAGUUUAAUAAUGGAUAUGUUUGAUUCACAUCUCCGUCUCCAAAAAUCUAAGUUAAAGAAUAAGACUAAAUCAAUUCGAACUUUAUUUAAAGUGCAUUUAAAAUUUGAUUUGAUUAUAUUAGAUUUAUUCAACAAAAAAAUGACUUAGAAUGUUGGUUGAGAUGGAGACGUGAAUCCAACAUAUUAAUUAUUAAUUUCUAGAUAAACUGUAAUUAAAUCCAGACUAUCCAAACAGAAGAUACAAUGUUGAUAUUUGGUUGCGUUGACAACCAAACACAAUUCAAUAUCCAGUUUGGCUACAAAUUAAUAACUGCCAUGUUUGAUUCACAUCUCCAUCUCAACCAACAAUCGAAGUUAAAGAAUAGGACUAAAUCAAAUGAAGUCAAACUUUAAAUGCAAUUAAACUUUGAUUUGAUUUAGUCCAAUUCUUUAACUUAGAUUUUAGGUUGAGACGUGAAUCCAACAUAUUAUUAUCUUGAAAACAACAUUUGAAAGCAACCAAAGCUUGAAAUCGUAGGCCUAUAUGUAUUGUCCUAUUUUUAGUUGAACCUUGGGUUGAACUGAAACAAUAGCUGUUGAUGAUGUAAACAUUAUAUACGCAUGAAAUGGUAUAAUUGAUGAUAU
rnacentral:lncRNA from 1 species